rnacentral:rRNA from 1 species
CGUGUAGGCGGCGAUCUAAGUCGGGUGUGAAAUCCCUCGGCCCAACCGGGGAAUGGACAUUCGAUACUGGAUUGCUUGAGUGCGGUAGGGGCAAGUGGAACUCCAGGUGUAGCGGUGAAAUGCGUAGAUAUCUGGAGGAACGCCGGUGGCGAAAGCGACUUGCUGGACCGCAACUGACGCUGAGGCGCGAAAGCUAGGGGAGCAACG